rnacentral:rRNA from 1 species
UUAAAUUGAAGAGUUUGAUCAUGGCUCAGAUUGAACGCUGGCGGCAGGCCUAACACAUGCAAGUCGAACGGUAACAGGAAGCAGCUUGCUGCUUCGCUGACGAGUGGCGGACGGGUGAGUAAUGUCUGGGAAACUGCCUGAUGGAGGGGGAUAACUACUGGAAACGGUAGCUAAUACCGCAUAACGUCGCAAGACCAAAGAGGGGGACCUUCGGGCCUCUUGCCAUCGGAUGUGCCCAGAUGGGAUUAGCUAGUAGGUGGGGUAACGGCUCACCUAGGCGACGAUCCCUAGCUGGUCUGAGAGGAUGACCAGCCACACUGGAACUGAGACACGGUCCAGACUCCUACGGGAGGCAGCAGUGGGGAAUAUUGCACAAUGGGCGCAAGCC